UACCAGCACCCCGAGUGGUCGGGACGUUUAUUGGGCCUAAAGCAUCCGUAGCCGGUUCUACAAGUCUUCCGUUAAAUCCAUCUGCUUAACAGAUGGGCUGCGGAAGAUACUAUAGAGCUAGGAGGCGGGAGAGGCAAGCGGUACUCGAUGGGUAGGGGUAAAAUCCGUUGAUCCAUUGAAGACCACCAGUGGCGAAGGUGGCUUGCCAGAACGCGCUCGACGGUGAGGGAUGAAAGCUGGGGGAGCAAACCGG
rnacentral:rRNA from 1 species